UUACAAGAUUGUGAGGUGAGAUCAAUCUAAAUAUCAAAACAUCUACAUGAGUUUUAGGGUAAAUUACGGUAAUCUUUUGAGAUAAGGUCAAAUUACAAAACAAAAAAAUAAAAAAAAAACUCAUAUUUGGGUAAUUAUAACCACCUCCUUAAUUAUGAAUCUUCUUACACGUCCACCCAUGUGGUGUCAAAUUUAGUAGAAUCUUCUAAAUUAUGUGGAAUAUUCUCCAGAUUGUACCCAUUUUAUCUCAUUCGAGCUCCAGAUUUUGAAACAAGAUGACCGUAAGAUGUGUCUAUUGAUUUGUAAAUACUAGAUUGUGGUGCAUCAGAAACUGUAUUUUCACAUAAAACGAGUACAAAUUAGAGAACAUUCCACAUAAUCUAAAAAAAUCUUGAAUUUAACACCAUAAGGGUGGACGUGUAAGAAAAUUCAUAGUUGAAAGAAUGUUGUAAUUACCCAAAUGGAAGGGGUUUAUUCGUAAUUUAACCUUACCUAGUGGCCGUAAUUUACGCUAAUAGUAGAUUACAAGAUUUUGAGGUGAGAUCAAUCAAAAGAUGAAAGCAAAGUUUUAAAUUUUAUCUGAUAAUAAGUGAAAAGAUAAGAUAUUUCAUUAAUUGUGAUUACAUCAUCAAUACUAUCAUCCAUUGGUAAAUCAAUUAAAAUAGCAAAAACAAAGAUGAUAUUGUUUACUUCUGAUCUGCCUCAUUCAACAUGCAAUGUCCAAUCACCUCUGCAGCACUCAGAAGCAGCUAAUGAGUUCUCAGUUAUCUAAUUUAAUCACCUUAUAUUU
rnacentral:lncRNA from 1 species